rnacentral:rRNA from 1 species
UGCCUACGGGACGCAGCAGUGAGGAAUAUUGGUCAAUGGCCGCAGUCCUGAACCAGCCAAGCCGCGUGAGGGAUGACGGCCCUAUGGAUUGUAAACCUCUUUUGUCGGGGAACAAAACCCGCCACGUGUGGCGCUUUGCGAGUAUCUGAAGAAAAAGCAUCGGCUAACUCCGUGCCAGCAGCCGCGGUAAUACGGAGGAUGCGAGCGUUAUCCGGAUUUAUUGGGUUUAAAGGGUGCGCAGGCGGACUGUCAAGUCAGCGGUAAAAUUGCGGGGCUCAACCCCGUCGAGCCGUUGAAACUGGCGG